AAACUUUACAAUGCUGGCAACAGCGAUAAGGGGACCUCGAGUGCCAGGAUACAAUCUUGGCUGUCGCGAUGCCUAAAAAGCAUUGCAUAGCAAGGGCCGGGCAAGACCGGUGCCAGCCGCCGCGGUAACACCGGCGGCUCGAGUGGUAACCGCUAUUAUUGGGUCUAAAGGGUCUGUAGCCGGCCGGAUAAGUCUCUUGGGAAAUCCAGCUGCUCAACAGUUGGGCUUUCAGGAGAUACUGUUCGGCUCGAGACCGGGAGAGGUGAGAGGUACUUCAGGGGUAGGGGUGAAAUCUUGUAAUCCUUGAAGGACCACCAGUGGCGAAGGCGUCUCACCAGAACGGAUCUGACGGCAAGGGACGAAAGCUAGGGGCACGAACCGGAUUAGAUACCCGGGUAGUCCUAGCCGUAAACGAUACUCGCUAGGUGUCAGCCACGGUGCGACCGUGGUUGGUGCCGUAGGGAAGCCGUGAAGCGAGCCACCUGGGAAGUACGGCCGCAAGGCUGAAACUUAAAGGAAUUGGCGGGGGAGCACUACAACGGGUGGAGCCUGCGGUUU
rnacentral:rRNA from 1 species